AGCUAAAUUACCUUGGAAAGCUGGUGUCUCUCUCAUGAUCCCUGUUACUCUUUGGCUCACUCUCUCUUUCUCUCUCUCUCUCUCACGCGUCUCCUCCUUCCACAGUCUCUCUCGCACCGCCAUUACAGCGUCGCAGCGCCAUCGCACUUCCGUUGAUCCACCAUUAGAGCAUUAUCCCUGCAAUUGUAUGUGGCGGCUCAGGAGGUUAAUUUUUUGAACUAAAAAGCUUAUCAGUGUUCCCUAUCAAAAAGACUUUCCUCUCUCUCUCCACACGCAUUGCUCAGUGACCUACUCAGCCCAGGUGAAUUACAGAUUCAAUGGAUACAAGUGAAAGAAAUUGAAAAUCUUUAAAAUCUGCAGGUUUGGAAGAUUUUCUCUCUUUUUUCGGCGUUUUCUCAGCAACCAAACAGAGGUUACAUAUUACCGAGGAACUAGUGUUGGCAAUAUGUUCUGGUUUCUUUGUCAACCGAAUUUGAAGAGUAUGUAGCAAAACCUUGCUUCCCUUCAUAAAUAAUAGCCUUCUAUGGAGCUAGAAAGGUGAUCAAGCACCGGAUCAGACUUAGCAGCAUUGACUCGAACCCUGUUUUGUUAAGCUAACUACUGUGCCUCACUGCGAGGUUCCAAACCGUCAACUGUUAAGGCUUAUUGGGUGGUUCAGAAUUCACCCUUUUGGCAUUAUGUUAAUGUGUUAUGAAUGUUUUGUGACUUUUGUUAAUACUAGUUUUUGAUGAUGGAAUUUAAUUCCCUAAGUCAUGUUUUCAUUUUGUACAUAAGUGUAUUAUGGACUUAAGUUUUUAUGUAUAUAUCAAAGUUAUUUGUUCAUUUAA